rnacentral:rRNA from 1 species
UACGGGGGGGGCAAGCGUUGUUCGGAAUUACUGGGCGUAAAGGGCUCGUAGGCGGCCAACUAAGUCAGACGUGAAAUCCCUCGGCUUAACCGGGGAACUGCAUCUGAUACUGGAUGGCUUGAGUUCGGGAGAGGGAUGCGGAAUUCCAGGUGUAGCGGUGAAAUGCGUAGAUAUCAGGAGGAACACCGGUGGCGAAGGCGGUUCUCUGGGCAUUACCUGACGCUGAGGAGCGAAAGUGUGGGGAGCGAACAGG